rnacentral:rRNA from 1 species
GUCCACGCCCUAAACGAUGUCGACUAGUCGUUCGGAGCAGCAAUGCACUGAGUGACGCAGCUAACGCGUGAAGUCGACCGCCUGGGGAGUACGGCCGCAAGGUUAAAACUCAAAGGAAUUGACGGGGACCCGCACAAGCGGUGGAUGAUGUGGAUUAAUUCGAUGCAACGCGAAAAACCUUACCUACCCUUGACAUGUCUGGAACCUUGGUGAGAGCCGAGGGUGCCUUCGGGAACUUACAUACAGGUGCUGCAUGGCUGUCGU